GACGAACGCUGGCGGCGUGCUUAACACAUGCAAGUCGAACGGUGAACCCGGAGCUUGCUCCGGUGGAUUAGUGGCGAACGGGUGAGUAACACGUGAGUAACCUGCCCUUGACUCUGGGAUAACUGCGGGAAACUGUAGCUAAUACCGGAUACGACCUUCGGCGGCAUCGCCAGGGGGUGGAAAGAAUUUCGGUAAAGGAUGGACUCCCGGCCUAUCGGCUAGUUGGUGAGGUAACGGCUCACCAAGGCAACGAUGCGUAGCCGACCUGAGAGGGCGACGGGCCACACUGGGAAUGAGACCCGGCCCAGAGUCCAACGGGAGGCAGCAGUGGGGGAUAUUGCGCAAGGGGCGAAAGCCUGCCGCAGCAACGCCGCGUGCGGGAUGACGGCCUUUGGGUUGUAAACCGCUUUCAGCAGGGAAGAAGCCGCAAGGUGACGGUACCUGCAGAAGAAGCACCGGCUAACUACGUGCCAGCCGCCGCCGUAA
rnacentral:rRNA from 1 species